rnacentral:lncRNA from 1 species
AAGUAUAUCUCCUGUUUAAAAUGAAUAAUAACACAAUGAUUAUUACAACUCUCACCAACAAAUAUGGUGGAUAAACUCUCUUUUGGAUAUGUAUCUCAAAAAAAAGCUUUUCACUCUCUGAUAUUAGAAAAUGAAAUAAAAUGAAAUAUUUAUAAUGAAUAUGCAUGCUACAAUGGUUGGCUAUAAUAUCAAGAGAAAAUUUCUCUUUCUUCCAUCCAUAAGUUCACCAAAAAAUACUCACGUACUUUCAAUUCUAUUUUCUAUAAUUGUUAAUGUUUCUCCUUCUUUCUCUCUCCAACUAAAGAGGAAUUCCUU